rnacentral:rRNA from 1 species
UACGGGGGGGGUAAGCGUUGUUCGGAAUUACUGGGCGUAAAGGGCUCGUAGGCGGCCAACUACGUCCGACGUGAAAUCCCCAGGCUUAACCUGGGAACUGCGUCGGAUACUGGAUGGCUUGAAUUCGGGAGAGGGAUGCAGAAUUCCAGGUGUAGCGGUGAAAUGCGUAGAUAUCUGGAGGAAUACCGGUGGCGAAGGCGGCAUCCUGGACCGACAUUGACGCUGAGGAGCGAAAGCUAGGGGAGCAAACGGG